rnacentral:rRNA from 1 species
UACGUAGGGAGCAAGCGUUGUCCGGAAUCAUUGGGCGUAAAGCGCGCGUAGGUGGCCCCAUAAGUCCGCUGUGAAAGUCAAAGGCUCAACCUUUGAAAGCCGGUGGAUACUGUGGGACUAGAGUACGGAAGAGGCGAGUGGAAUUCCUGGUGUAGCGGUGGAAUGCGCAGAUAUCAGGAGGAACACCGGUGGCGAAGGCGGGUCUCUGGGCCGAUACUGACGCUGAGGAGCGAAAGCGUGGGGAGCGAACAGG